rnacentral:rRNA from 1 species
AUUGAACGCUAGCGGGAUGCUUAACACAUGCAAGUCGAACGAGUGGCGGACGGGUGAGUAAUAUAUCGGAACGUGCCCAGUAGCGGGGGAUAACUAAUGGAAAGAGUGGCUAAUACCGCAUACUAUAGGAGCGGCCGAUAUUGGAUUAGCUAGUUGGGGGGGUAAAGGCUCACCAAGGCUACGAUCCGUAGCUGGUUUGAGAGGAUGACCAGCCACACUGGGACUGAGACACGGCCCAGACUCCUACGGGAGGCAGCAUUGGGGAAUUUUGGACAAUGGGGGAAACCCUGAUCCAGCCAUCCCGCGUGUAUGAGAAGGCCUUCGGGUUGUAAAGUACUUUUGGCAGAGAAGCGUUAUCUGCAGAAUAAGCACCGGCUAACUACGUGCCAGCCGCCGCGGUAAUAC